GCCCUGGUGGCACAGUGGUUAAAGCGUUUGACUGCUAACCAAAAAAAGGUUGGUGGUUCGAAACCACCAGUGGCU
rnacentral:tRNA from 1 species